AUGAACGCUGGCGGUAUGCUUAACACAUGCAAGUCGAACGGGAUGCUUCGGCAUCUAGUGGCGGACGGGUGAGUAACGCGUGAGAAUCUGGCUUCAGGUUCGGGACAACAGUGGGAAACUGCUGCUAAUACCGGAUGUGCAGGAAUGUGAAAGAUUAAUUGCCUGAAGAUGAGCUCGCGCCUGAUUAGCUAGUUGGUGGGUAAGAGCCCA
rnacentral:rRNA from 1 species